CUUUGGCGUUCUGGACAUCUCUACACCAUAGUUGAGUUCACAGUGGAUGAGAGGGGGAAUAAUUUGAACAAGUGUCCUUCUCCUCUAAAUUUAUGGAGGUCAGGAAAAAAAGUGGCAUUUUCAAGUGCUGAAAGAAAAGAGCUGUCAACCUAGAUGAAAGGAAAGUAAGAGAAUCUAUCACCAACAGAUCUAUCUUAAAAGAAUGGCUUAAAGGAAAUUCUCUAAGCAAAAGGAAAUAAUAAAAGAAGCUUGAAGCAUCAGAAAGUA